CUUACAGCGGAGAGACGUCAGUGUUCUUGAUUCUCACUUGGCAAGUCUCAGUUCCUUGAUGGCUCUUGGCUAAAGACUUCAGUUCUUCACCGAGUGAACAUAGGCUGCCUGAGUAUCCCCACAAUGUGACAGCUGGCUUCCACCAGAAGCAGUGAUCUAAGAAAGAAAUGCCAAGACAACAUUUCUUCUAGGUGGAAGUGGUUGGAGAAGCUGGAGGUAGACUGUAUAUAGAAGCACAUGUGCUAUUUUGCCUGCAGUGCACACUGACUUGGUGGAAAUUCCUGUUUCAAGUUUUUCAAGGAAUGUAGUCCACAAAUACUUAAAGGCACUUAUUCAGAUAUUUGACAUAGGAUGGCAUGAAGGUACAAAUAUGCUGCUGCAGCUUUAAAGCAAUUUGCCCUUUUCCUCAAAAGCUAGAUAUUUAUCCACUAUGGAAUGAAAUUGAAGGGUGUUUUUCUUAACAUCAUUUUGUCAGAUUCAUCUGAUAAAUGUGAACGUUUAUAUAGAAGACAUAAAAGUUGGUGAAAAACUUUUUGUUUAUAUGCCUUAAUGAAAAGAUGUACAAAAUAAGUGUAUCAGAAACAAAACUAAAACCUUAAUGGGAUGGAUCUGUUACAGGAGUAAACAUGGUGUCUGCUGAAUGGUACGGAAAAAGUUGUAAACACACACAGUCUGGUGCCUUGUGAUGACUGUAAAGUUACACAGUCAGGACAAUAGUAGAUUUGUCCAGAACUUUACUCUUUUGCAAACCUCAACAUUACUGAAAUGAGGGAGGGGGCCUAAAUUCUCAAAAGGAUGUCUUUGGACUGUCUGCAAACCCUAAUAUGAAGAAUUAUAUAUUACAUGGUCUCCAAACAUUUUUUUAGCUCCAGUGAGUAAUUCAGUCUGGAGCUAACAUUCCUUUGAAAGAACCCUCAGUUUUUUAUUUUGAUCUAGAAUUAUGUUUGGCUAGUAGUUAAAUUGGUUUAAAAGUUGACUUGACUAUUUUGUGAACUAAUAUAAGUUUUUCUUUUUAGAUACAGGUAGUCUUUACUUUGCACCGUUCCAGUAUGCAUGAAGAUCAGUUUUUACAGCUGGUUCCAUUGCUUCUAGAGUCGGCAUGAAUUGAUUAACCUUCCGCUGUCUGGCAAAGCUGCAAGCUCAGAUAAGGUUACUACUGUGAAAUUUGCACCAUUAUUCCAAGAGUCACAGGCAGUCCUUGCUUUGCCCAGUGUAAGACUAUACUGUGUGAAAACUUCACAGGGUUUGGCUAUAAUGUAAAGGGAGUUCCUAGAAGAUACCGCUGACCGUGAGAAUGUGGACACUCAUACCAUUCAAGCCGUUCUAGAGACACAACCAGAAGAAUUUAGUGAAGGUGAACAUCGUAAUAAAGAAGAAAAGCAUUUGUGUGUUGUAAAGGAAGAAUAUGUUUCAGAGCAAGUGAUGUGGGUGAAAAAACCACAUUAAAGGAGUUCUCAGAUAUUUCAUGACAUUGAAUCCGUAAGGGAUUAAAUAUUAGAAGCCGAUCCAAACUCAAAAGAGUAUGACAGUUUGCCAAAGUGUAGAGAAGAUGCUUGCUCCAUAUUGCAAAUUACAUGAGAAAGCAAGCACUGUUCAAACUUCUGAGACUUUCCUAUAAAUAAAAUGCUGUAAUUUUCAGUG